GACGAACGCUGGCGGCGUGCUUAACACAUGCAAGUCGAGCGGUAAGGCCCUUUCGGGGGUACACGAGCGGCGAACGGGUGAGUAACACGUGGGUGACCUGCCCUCAGCUCUGGGAUAAGCCUGGGAAACCGGGUCUAAUACUGGAUGUGACUCCAUGACGCAUGUUGUGGGGUGAAAGCCUUGUGCGGGCUGAGGAUGGGCCCGCGGCCUAUCAGCUUGUUGGUGGGGUGAUGGCCUACCAAGGCGACGACGGGUAGCCGGCCUGAGAGGGCGACCGGCCACACUGGGA
rnacentral:rRNA from 1 species